rnacentral:tRNA from 1 species
AUCCGCUUAGCUCAGUGGUAGAGCAUUGCCCUCCUAAGGCAGGGGUCGAGGGUUCGAACCCCUCAGUGGAUG